CAGUCGAGGGGUAUAGUUCUUCGGAACUAGAGACCGGCGCACGGGUGCGUAACGCGUAUGCAAUCUACCUUUCACAAAGGGAUAGCCCAGAGAAAUUUGGAUUAAUACCUCAUAGUAUAUAUGAAUGGCAUCAUUUAUAUAUUAAAGAUUUAUCGGUGAAAGAUGAGCAUGCGUCCCAUUAGCUAGUUGGUAAGGUAACGGCUUACCAAGGCAACGAUGGGUAGGGGUCCUGAGAGGGAGAUCCCCCACACUGGUACUGAGACACGGACCAGACUCCUACGGGAGGCAGCAGUGAGGAAUAUUGGACAAUGGGCGCAAGCCUGAUCCAGCCAUGCCGCGUGCAGGAUGACGGUCCUAUGGAUUGUAAACUGCUUUUAUACGAGAAGAAACCCUCCGACGUGUCGGAGCUUGACGGUAUCGUAAGAAUAAGGAUCGGCUAACUCCGUGCCAGCAGCCGCGGUAAUACGGAGGAUCCAAGCGUUAUCCGGAAUCAUUGGGUUUAAAGGGUCCGUAGGCGGUCAGGUAAGUCAGUGGUGAAAGCCCAUCGCUCAACGGUGGAACGGCCAUUGAUACUGUCUGACUUGAAUUAUUAGGAAGUAACUAGAAUAUGUAGUGUAGCGGUGAAAUGCUUAGAGAUUACAUGGAAUACCAAUUGCGAAGGCAGGUUACUACUAAUGGAUUGACGCUGAUGGACGAAAGCGUGGGUAGC
rnacentral:rRNA from 1 species